UAGGGAAUCUUCCACAAUGGGCGCAAGCCUGAUGGAGCAACACCGCGUGAGUGAAGAAGGGUUUCGGCUCGUAAAGCUCUGUUGUUGGAGAAGAACGUGCGUGAGAGUAACUGUUCACGCAGUGACGGUAUCCAACCAGAAAGUCACGGCUAACUACGUGCCAGCAGCCGCGGUAAUACGUAGGUGGCAAGCGUUAUCCGGAUUUAUUGGGCGUAAAGCGAGCGCAGGCGGUUGCUUAGGUCUGAUGUGAAAGCCUUCGGCUUAACCGAAGAAGUGCAUCGGAAACCGGGCGACUUGAGUGCAGAAGAGGACAGUGGAACUCCAUGUGUAGCGGUGGAAUGCGUAGAUAUAUGGAAGAACACCAGUGGCGAAGGCGGCUGUCUGGUCUGCAACUGACGCUGAGGCUCGAAAGCAUGGGUAGCGAACAGGAUUAGAUACCCUGGUA
rnacentral:rRNA from 1 species